rfam:Strongylocentrotus purpuratus Contig128537_fixed, whole genome shotgun sequence.
CCAACAGUCUUUUUCAAGACUACACACAAACUCAAUAAGAAAGAUU